ensembl:lncRNA
CUCAGAUAUGGCGGAGACCCUCCUCAGCACUUUAAUUUUUUGGUCCUCAGUUGCUGGAGGCAUUGUUCUUUUUCUGUUGGUAUCCUGUCACUCAAACGCUCUAAUUCUCCCAGAUUCUCCUACUUGUUACUUAUUCACUGAAACCCAUUUGCUUUGUGUUUCAAGGGGAGAAAGGUGACUGUAACAGGGACAGAUUCAGUUAAGCAGAGGGGAGAGAUGUCUCAGUGCAGUGAGCUGAGGAGAGAAUAGGAGAUAAUAGCUAGACGAUCUUUCUGUGAUGGGAGACCGAUGAAUGAGUGAUCUCACUAAGAGACCAGGAAGUCCCUGGGAUUCCUGACUCUUCACCACCCACACUCACUUUGAAGUCAUUUCACUUAUAUCCAUCUCUUUCAAUACCAUCCAUGCACUGAUUACUCCUCACCUUGUAUCUCCAAGCCUGACUGCUCUCGUGAACAUCAGACUCAUGUUUCCAGCUGCUUACUUGAGCUCUGCUUUUGUAUGUCUCCAACAGAAUCAAUCCUCUACAAAGUAAUCAGAGGGAUCUUUUAGAACAGUAAAGUAGAUCAUGCUAUUUUCUUACUUAAAGCCUUCCAAAGGCUUUCUAAAAUACCUUUUCAAUUCCUUUUUACAGACUUCAAGAUACUACAUGAUCUUCCUUGAUAAUCUCACUUCCUGGGCUUCCCUAGUGGCUCAGGUGGUAAAGAAUCACCUGCAGUUCAGAAGACCUGUGUUGAUCCCUGGGUUGGGAAGAUCCCUUGGAGGAGGGCAUGGCAACUCACUCAAGUAGUCUUGCUUGGAGAAUCCCAAUGGACAGAGGGGCCUGGUGGCCUACAAAGAGUUGGACAUACAACUGAGCAACUAAGGGCAUGCACACAGAAUAUUACUUCCAACAAUUUCCCCAUUUUUUCACUAUGUUCCAGUCACACUGCCAAAUUUACAUCUGUUUGCUGAGCAAGCUCUCUGAUUGUGAACCUGUAAUUCAUUUUACCUGAGUGAUCAUUCACCAGAUCUUCAUUUAGUUGCCUCCUUCUCAUCAUUCAGGCCCAAGCAGGUCCCACUGAUCUUGCUGGAUUGGAAAUGGAUAGCUAUCACACUGAGGACCGCUAGGUGUUGGUUGCUAA